rnacentral:rRNA from 1 species
UACGUAGGGUGCAAGCGUUGUCCGGAAUUAUUGGGCGUAAAGAGCUCGUAGGCGGUUUGUCGCGUCUGCUGUGAAAACUCGGGGCUUAACCCCGGGCCUGCAGUGGGUACGGGCAGACUAGAGUGUGGUAGGGGAGACUGGAAUUCCUGGUGUAGCGGUGAAAUGCGCAGAUAUCAGGAGGAACACCGAUGGCGAAGGCAGGUCCCUGGGCCACUACUGACGCUGAGAAGCGAAAGCAUGGGGAGCGAACAGG